ACUCCUACGGGAGGCAGCAGUAGGGAAUCUUCCACAAUGGGCGCAAGCCUGAUGGAGCAACACCGCGUGAGUGAAGAAGGGUUUCGGCUCGUAAAGCUCUGUUGUUAAAGAAGAACACGUAUGAGAGUAACUGUUCAUACGUUGACGGUAUUUAACCAGAAAGUCACGGCUAACUACGUGCCAGCAGCCGCGGUAAUACGUAGGUGGCAAGCGUUAUCCGGAUUUAUCGGGCGUAAAGAGAGUGCAGGCGGUUUUCUAAGUCUGAUGUGAAAGCCUUCCGCUUAACCGGAGAAGUGCAUCGGAAACUGGAUAACUUGAGUGCAGAAGAGGGUAGUGGAACUCCAUGUGUAGCGGUGGAAUGCGUAGAUAUAUGGAAGAACCACCAGUGGCGAAGGCGGCUACCUGGUCUGCAACUGACGCUGAGACUCGGAAGCAUGGGUAGCGAACAGGAUUAGAUACCCUGGUAGGAUAGCG
rnacentral:rRNA from 1 species